rnacentral:rRNA from 1 species
GACGAACGCUGGCGGCGCGCCUUACGCAUGCAAGUCGAACGCCCCGAUUUAUCGGGGAGUGGCGGACGGCUGAGUAACGCGUAGGUAACCUGUCCCACAGUGGGGGAUAACCCGCCGAAAGGCGAGCUAAUACCGCAUACGCUCGCGCGGUGAGAGACCGCGUGAGGAAAGCCGCAAGGCGCUGAGGGAGGGGCCUGCGUCCUAUCAGGUAGUUGGUGGGGUAACGGCUCACCAAGCCGACGACGGGUAGCUGGUCUGAGAGGACGGCCAGCCAGACGGGGACUGAGACACGGCCCCGACUCCUACGGGAGGCAGCAGCGAGGAAUCUUGGGCAAUGGGCGAAAGCCUGACCCAGCGACGCCGCGUGGGGGAAGAAGGCCUUCGGGUCGUAAACCCCUUUUGCCGGGGAAGAAGCUCUGACGGUACCCGGCGAAUAAGCCACGGCUAACUACGUGCCAGCAGCCGCGGUAAU